GGCCGGCGCCAUAUGGGUCGUACAACCAUUUGAUUGGAUAAAGAAGACUUUUAUUGAUAAACCCGCAGCUGAGGAGAACUGAACUGAACAAAGAAGUGCGAGUUUUUCUUCUUUUCUGGGGCUUUGUUUGUUUGUUGAUUCAUGUAGACCUGCUCUGUCUUUCUCUUAAAUGUUAUGAUGACAUGAGAAAGCUUUGAUUUUUUACUUGUUUGUUGUUAUUUCCAUAUGAAGUAUAUAUAGAUCAGGCGGUAUCAUUAGGCAAAAGUUAUGAUGAUGAUUUAAAUUGUUGAGCUUAAGAGCUCAGAAACCUGGACGGACCCAGAAGCGAAGCUUUAUUCGUCAGGCACCCUUUCUAAUCAACCAACUCCAGAGUUAUAUAUCACUCCAAGUCAGUGAUCAAGCUUAAUCUGACCAACAAAUCUAAUUACAUUAAGCAUAGACGUAACGAGCAAUCCAGAUCAGGAUCAACUCACAACAUUACCCUUGUGUUGUGUGUUUUCAUCAUCAAGUCAACUGAUGCAAAUUCCAGUUAAACCCUAAAUCUCAGAUAUAUCUGUCGUUUAGCUUCUUUUGGUUAGAGGAGUUGAAAAAGAUGAACAGAGAUAAUGGAUGCGAAACGAGACAAGUCAUUAGCACUGUUUCCAGCCAAGUUUCAUGAGCGCAUGUGGAUUAGACGAGGAAGCUUGCAAAGUUACUUUAAUCGUUUGCAAAGUUCUCUUCUUUGAGCAAGGCCGUCUCCUCCACAAGUCUCUAAAAUGUUCAUGUUAAGUUUGGGGAUGGUGAAAAUGCAUGCCAGAAAUCUUCAGCGUUGCUAAGCCAACUCCAGCUGAUGAAAGCUCUCAAAUACCCAUUGCACUGGGAGACGGUGAGAUAGGUUCGAGUGAUGAUGGCAUGCCUCCACCGUCCGUUUGGGGUGCAAUGUGAUGCAGACACAGAUUCUGGAUCAUUCAUAGUAACGUUCUUCUUGCCAGGCUCGGCUAUAUUUCUCAAGAGAGGGAACCUAUCGUAUGUAACCAACACAUGUUACGUUUUAUUAUAUCCACUGAUGAUAUGUUUAUUGGAGAUGAGAAGAAACGUUUACAAGAUUAUCAAAUUCCUUUGUUGCUGCCAUGGCUUCUAUUAACUCAGGGAUUAAGCAACCACCGACUUUGCCACCCUUUUUCAUCGCCAAUCAAAAAUAACUCUUGUUCAGGAUCAGACGCGAUUGCAAUGUCCACUGCCAAAAGCUUUAUGUCAUACAGUGGAAGCAAACCAAAAGAUUGAUGAAUGAGAGAGAGACUCACCACUUGUUAACUAUUCAGUAGUCACUAAUCCAGUCAC